CAUAACCUCAUUUCGUCAUGGGUAGUAAUUAUAAUCAGGCAAUAUUAAUGUUCAAUAAUGUUUCUUUUGUUUUUCAAAAUUUUUUGUUACAUACUUUAUAUUGGCUGUAUUUAGGAUCAUCGUCAUGAUGUGUACAUUUCUCAAUCUCAACCUAGACCUCAAGUUCACAUGGGUGGUACAAGUGGUCUUCCUCUUAUGUAUGGUACAUAUGAUGGAAAUAACAUGCCUCAGUCAAUGCCUUCUGUGUAUCCCACUCAUAGAUCUUUUCAGGAGUUGUUUCGAGGUACAAGUCCAAGUCUCGCAAGCGUCACAUAGUCUUGCUGACAGUCAUGUAGAUGGACAUCCUUGAGAAGUUUAUUUUAUCUUCAUUUGUUUUGGACAAAUGUUUUUUGUGUUGGACAGAUUUGGUUUGGUUUGGUUUAUUUUGUGUUGGACAGAUUUAUUAUGUUGUGGACAGAUUUAUUUUGUUCUGGACAGAUUUGGACAGAUUUCAUUUGUUUUGGAUAGAUUUGGUCUGAUU